rnacentral:rRNA from 1 species
GACGUAGGGCGCGAGCGUUUGUCCGGAUUUAUUGGGCGUAAAGAGCUCGUAGGCGGCUUGUUGCGUCGACUGUGAAAACCCGCGGCUUAACUGCGGGCUUGCAGUUGAUACGGGCAGGCUAGAGUUCGGUAGGGGAGACUGGAAUUCCUGGUGUAGCGGUGAAAUGCGCAGAUAUCGAGAGGAACACCUGCGGCGAAGGCGGGUUGCUGGGCUGACACUGACGCUGAAGUGCGAAAGCUAGGGGAGCGAACGGG